rnacentral:tRNA from 1 species
GGUUCCGUAGUGUAGUGGUUAUCACGUUCGCUUUACACGCGAAAGGUCUCCGGUUCGACCCCGGACGGAACCA